GCAAACUUGGUCAUUUAGAGGAAGUAAAAGUCGUAACAAGGUUUCCGUAGGUGAACCUGCGGAAGGAUCAUUACUGAGUUUAUGCCCCUUAAUUAAAAAGGGGGGGGUAGACCUCGAACCCUAUGGUUGCAAUUUGACUUCUGUUGCUUUGAUAGGUCGUAAAGUGUUCUAAUUUUUAGGCGUUUUCCACUGGGUUUGACCUGGUGUGUUUGCCUGUCAGAGGAAACCCGAAAAUACUUCUGAAAAUUUAGUUUGUCUGUGAAAACUGAAAUGAAAACUUUCAACAACGGAUCUCUUGGUUCUGGCAUCGAUGAAGAACGCAGC
rnacentral:misc_RNA from 1 species